rnacentral:rRNA from 1 species
UUGACCUCGAAUCAGGUAGGAAUACCCGCUGAACUUAAGCAUAUCAAUAAGCGGAGGAAAAGAAACCAACAGGGAUUGCCUCAGUAACGGCGAGUGAAGCGGCAACAGCUCAAAUUUGAAAUCUGGCCUCCUGGUCCGAGUUGUAAUUUGCAGAGGAUGCUUCGGGCGCGGUGCCUUCCAAGUCCCCUGGAACGGGGCGCCGGAGAGGGUGAGAGCCCCGUACGGUUGGCGGCCAAGCCUGUGUGAAGCUCCUUCGACGAGUCGAGUAGUUUGGGAAUGCUGCUCUAAGCGGGAGGUAGACCCCUUCUAAAGCUAAAUAUUGGCCAGAGACCGAUAGCGCACAAGUAGAGUGAUCGAAAGAUGAAAAGCACUUUGAAAAGAGGGUUAAACAGCACGUGAAAUUGUUGAAAGGGAAGCGCUUGAGACCAGACGUGCGCCGGGGUGCUCAGCGGGCGUUCUCGCCCGUGCACUCGCCCCGGCGCAGGCCAGCGUCGGUUUGGGCGGGGGGAUAAAGGCGUCUGGAAUGUGGCUCCCCCGGGAGUGUUAUAGCCAGGCGUGCCAUGCCUCCGCCCGGACCGAGGUACGCGUUCUGCAAGGACGCUGGCGUAAUGGUCCCCAGCGACCCGUCUUGAAACACGGACCAAGGAGUCGAGGUUUUGCGCGAGUGUUUGGGUGAAAAACCCGCACGCGUAAUGAAAGUGAACGUAGGUGAGAGCUUCGGCGCAUCACCGACCGAUCCUGAUGUUUUCGGAUGGAUUUGAGUAAGAGCGUAGGGCCUCGGACCCGAAAGAUGGUGAACUAUGCUUGGAUAGGGUGAAGCCAGAGGAAACUCUGGUGGAGGCUCGCAGCGGUUCUGACGUGCAAAUCGAUCGUCAAAUCUGAGCAUGGGGGCGAAAGACUAAUCGAACCAUCUAGUAGCUGGUUACCGCCGAAGUUUCCCUCAGGAUAGCAGUGUUGUUCUUCAGUUUUAUGAGGUAAAGCGAAUGAUUAGGGACUCGGGGGCGCUAUUUAGCCUUCAUCCAUUCUCAAACUUUAAAUAUGUAAGAAGCCCUUGUUGCUUAAUUGAACGUGGGCAUUCGAAUGUACCAACACUAGUGGGCCAUUUUUGGUAAGCAGAACUGGCGAUGUGGGAUGAACCAUACGGGGGGUUAAGGUGCCAGAGUAGACGCUCAUCAGACACCACAAAAGGCGUUAGCACAUCUUGACAGCAGGACGGUGGCCAUGGAAGUCGGAAUCCGCUAAGGACUGUGUAACAACUCACCUGCCGAAUGUGCUAGCCCUGAAAAUGGAUGGCGCUCAAGCGUCUCACCCAUACCCCCCCCUCAGGGUAGACACGAUGCCCUGAGGAGUAGGCGGCCGCAGUGCUGUGUGACGAAGGCUAGGGCGUGAGCCCGGCUCGAACCGGCGCUGGUGCGGAUCUUGGUGGUAGUAGCAAAUACUUCAAUGAGAACUUGAAGGACCGAAGUGGGGAAAGGUUCCAUAUGAACAGCGGUUGGAUGUGGGUUAGUCGAUCCUAAGCCAUAGGGAAGUUCCGUUUCAAAGGGGCACUUGUGCCCCGUGUGGCGAAAGGGAAGCCGGUUAAUAUCCCGGCACCUGGAUGUGGGUUUUUCGCGGCAACGCAACCGAACGCGGAGACGGCGGCGGGGGCCCCGGGCAGAGUUCUCUUUUCUUCUUAACGGCCUCUCACCCUGGAAACAGUUUGUCUGGAGAUAGGGUUUAACGACCGGAAGAGCCCGGCACUUCUGCCGGGUCCGGCGCGCCCCCGACGUCCCUUGAAAAUCCGCGGGAGGGAAUAAUUCUCACGCUAGGUCGUACUCAUAACCGCAGCAGGCCUCCAAGGUGA